UGCACAUGCAGACUGAAGUGUGCAAAAUGUGCGCCCGUGUUCACACGUUACACGUGUGAAUACGUGUCUAUUAACAAGUCCGAUGUUUAGACGAAAAGCCCGGAUACCUGUGUCCAAGACUUAAUCUUAUCAAAGUUAACUGCAACCUCUUGGGAUAUUCUCUCACUUUAACCUGUAUUGAGCCUCAGUAUAGAAAUACAUUCUGACUUGAACAUGAAAACGUCAGGAUUGUUGGAAACAGCACUAGAAGUCAUCCUCUGAGACAGGGUCACCUGUUCACCCCUGCAAAUGUCAGGCCUGUGAGCUUCCACGGAGCCUCCUGCCUCCUCCUCUUCCUCUCAUCUAGGUACAGGAGUGCUGGGAUUAUGAAUGACUGGCUACACCACUCAGCUUUUAUUUGAGUUCUGAGGAUCUAAACUCAGGUCCUCACAGAUGGUGCAGCAAGCGCAUUACCCACUGAGCCAUCACCUCAGCCCUUUUGCAUGUUUUCUUGCAAGUUUAUUGCAUUUUUAAACAGAUGUAAUGGGCUUUGGGGGGGGUCUUUUUGCUUUGUUUUGGCUUUGUUUGGUUUGGGGUUUUUUUUUUUUAGUUUUUGGAGACAGGAUUUCUCUGUGUAACAGUCUUAGCUGUCCUGGAACUCUCUUUGUAGACCAGAAUGGCCUCAAACUCAUAGAGAUUCACCUGCCUCUGCCUCCUGAGUGCUGGGAUUAAAGGCGUGUGCCACCAUACCCAGCUGUAAUAGGCUUUUAUUUUAUUAUUUUAACAUAUUUGCUGUAGAAUUCUAUAUUCCUUCUUGUCAGUGUGAUAUGUCUGCAUGUUCGUAUUUUCUUCAACAUUUCUUCCCUGACAAGUAUUCUGCAGAUCUGAGUAUAUGCCACACAGAGCAUAUAUGAAUAUAUACAUGUAUGUAUACAAGUUUUAUACUAAUGCUUUCUACAUGUUUCUUAAGCAAUCAUUUGCUUAUUAAUUGCUUGUGGUGUUUUUCCUCCAUUCUGAUGGCUGACUUUAGUAUUUAUUGCAGAAACCCUUCCUCUUUUUUUUUUUUUUUUUUUUUUUUGGUUUUUCAAGACAGGGUUUCUCUAUGUAACAGCCCUAGCUGUCCUGGAACUCAAUUUGUAGACCAGGCUGGCCUCAAACUCACAGAGAUCUGCCUGCCUCUGCUUCUCUAGUGCUGGGAUUAAAGGCGUGCAGCAUCACACCUGGUGAAGAAUUAAUUCUUAUAUCUGACCAGUGGAAGGGAAAAAUUAGUAUAACCACUUCGACAAAGCUGAGUCAGAUUGGUUCCCAGAGUGGUCCCCAGGAUGCCAUUCUGGAAGAGCUUCAGGAUCCAAUUUCUCUUCCGCUCCAUAGCUUUAAGUCCUUCCUUUAUCAGCACGGUGGCUGACUUCUUGCUGUCAGAAAGGAAAAAAGUGAUUUGAAAGCUAGCAUCUGAUUGGUCAUUUAUUCAACAAGUUCUUUCAGAAGGACCACUCAGAACGGGACAGUUCUCAGCUCUAAUGUACUGGUAAAUCCCCAUUGGUCACCAUAGACAGGAACAUUUCUCAGAGGUAAAGGUAAGAAAUGUGGUUUUAGCCAGGCGGUGGUGGCACAUGCCUUUAAUCCCAGCACUCGGGAGGCAUAGGCAGGCAGAUCUCUGUGAGUUUGAGGCCUGCCUGGUCUACAGAACAAGUUCCGGGACAAUCUCUAAAGCUACACAGAGAAACCCUGUCUCGAAAAAAGAAAAGAAAAAAAGGAAGGAAGGAAGAAAGAAAAAAAAUGUGGUUUUAAGAAGAAGUUGUAUUUCAUUCCACCUGCCAGGGAAGGAAGGCAUUAGCAGGUUUUAGGCAAAUGAGAAGGUAUUGUAUCUUUUUAAUGAUCAAAGAAUUAUCUUACUGAACUUUCCCUCUGUAAAAGGGAAACACCUAUCACUCAGGCGCUAAUGUAAGAUCAUAAAGUCUCUGAAAUUUGUAAAAUGUUCAAAAUUGUUCUAGGAAGUUCAAAGGCUUCUUUUUGCAUUCAACAAAUCAGGAUAAAAAGUAUACAAGCCUGAAACACCCCCCACCCCUUUUUAAACUAAUAUAGAAUCUUAUCUUUCAUUAGCCAGUCACACUUUUAUGAAACCGCUGAACUCUUUUAUGAAAUCCAUGUUUUGACUUGUAGACUUCAGUGAUGUAAUAAUCCUUGUUCUGGUUCCCUCUCUGCUUUAUUCAUUUCCCACCUUCCCUCCCCCCUCCAUCCCUCCCUCCCGCCUUUCCUCCAGCCCCCUUUCCGUCUUUCCUUUCUUAAUUCCUUCUCUACCAUAACUUUGUAAUAAAUUCAGAAAUCAGAGCGA